CAAACAGCCCUUUGUUUGUCCUGACUUCUGCCUGUGAGUGAUCUGCGCUGUUCUCCAGCAGUGGGUCAGAGGGUGGGCUUCAGGAGCCUCCUCUUUGCUCACUGCCAGCCUAGUCUUGGGGCAUAAAUUUAACAUAUCCCUUCCAGCAGGAAACAAUUAGUCCAUCCAGGAUCUGAUACAAAGGUGUCUCCUCAAAGAGCAAAGCAUAACAUCCAGAACAAGAGGGGAAACGUGAAGGAGAAGUUUUCUGGGGUUGCACAGCCAGAAAAACAUGAUUUCUAUACAGGUGCUUUAUUUUGCAUUUGGUGGACAAGAGCAAGCCAACUCAACAAUCUCUGUAGUACUUUAAAUUUUUGACUUUGGGAUCCUUUCAAGUUUUCUGAAACUGACAUAAUAAAAAAACCUUCUUAAUUAUUUUAACCUGAUUUCUAGUACAGCAUGCUCAAUGAUGCCAUGUAUCAAGUUCUUUACUAAACAGUGUUUAAUCAAGAGGUAAAACAUUAAAUUGAAGAGUAUUUCAGAGGAAGUUAGUUUAGACUAAUUCCAGAUUAAUCAAACAAUCUGGUGCCAUAAAAACACGAAGGAUCUUAAAUGGAAUUGAAAUAUUAUGUCCUAAUGAGAAAAUAGUCUUGAGGGUGAAGCAUGUGUCCUCAUAUUUCUCUUGCAAUUUGUCUCUUCUUCUACUGCAGCCAUCCUGGACCUAUUUUGCAACGGGAAUAGACAACGAUGAAUGUUGAGCUGUAAUUUUUACAUUUUUCUUGUGUGUGUUGUUUUGAUUCUGGUGUUCUGUUUCAAGAGUUUAGUUUUCUCUGUCUAUAGGGCUGCUUCCAGAAGAGAGGUUUGUUAGGAGUACAAAAAGGUGCCCCGGCUCAGCUGGUUCAAUUUACAAUUUGAUGCCUUGGUGCUUGUUCAGUUUGAUUUAUUGUAUGCCAGCAGUGAGCUCGGGCCUCUAUGUAAGAAGUGCAUAUCCCAUGUUCUGCUGCCUCAGCAGAGAGAGCGGUAAAUGGUAAAUGGCACAGUUGUUUAGAAGCAAAUCUUUGGAAACUGAGCCUACCUACUCAUGGUAGUCCCAUCCAGCAGGGUGCUCCCCCAUCUCUGCUGGAGGUGGGCAGCUGGGAUGGAGAGAACAGGAUGGCUGUACCUCUGCCUCUAAUUCUGGUUGGAAAUGUGAGGAAGAACAUAUUUUGCCACUGUGGUUGCACACACGUAGCAAAUUAAAAGGGGAAGGAGGAGAUAGCUGCAAGUAGUGGCUGUGAGAACAGGACAGCCUUGCCUUUUCAGGGUGACAGAAUGCCUGCUGCUCCCUCUGCCUUGCUAUGGAAAUUCUUCCCUGGUGCAGAGCACGGCCCCAGUGCCCCGUGCCUUAGAUGAGAUUAUCGUAAUGCCUCUGGGAGUACGCCGUGUUCCAGGGCAGCCUUCUCCAUGGGAGCAGGGAUGUGAGCUGUGAGCCUGCUGUGCCUCUGCAGCAGCAGGGGACUGGCUAUAUAUAAGCAGGGAUAAAACUUGAAGAAGGGAGCAAGAGCACAGUGUGCUACAACUCUGGAUUUGAAUGCCUUUUUAGUUACUUGCAAAUAAAUUUUGGUCUGAAUAAUUUAAAGAUUUAAUCAGAAGGUGUAAUAAGUAUAUUAGGAUUAUUACCUUGCUUUCUUUUUAAGUUUUCAUGUGUUUUCCAGGGAACAUAAGUGUUUUCAGAACACAUUUUCAGAGCCCAGUCUGGACAGCAGUCCAGUGAGCUGGUAGUUUUGUAUAUAAAGUGGAGUAUGUGAGGGAUAGUUUUCUCCAGGAAAUUUCAUGCUGCAUUUUGAGAAAGGACAGUUCUAACAAAGUUGGUGUUUGGCUGUUCCAUGUACAAUGUUUUCAGUCAAUGAAAACUUUCAGGAACAAGACGAAGUUUUCUCCCUUGUGAUGCUGCUACAGAGUAGAGACUGAAAAGCAAAGUGGGAUUUGGAGGAAGCAAAAGUUUUGAGGAAUUUCAUCAGCGAAAUGCAACCCAAAAGGAAGUCACUAUGGCUUCUGUAAAACAGCCUUUUAAGGAGUUAAAAGUGAGAUAUGGGAAAUGAAUGGAAGGGCUGGGGAGCCUUCACUGAGAGAAAGUAAAGUGCACAGCAGGGCUUCCAGAUCUUACCUUCUUUCCCUUUCUCCACUUUGCCCCUGACCCAUUACCCUGAAUAUCUGUUUCUCUACUGAGCCUGUCUCGCUCCUUGUCUCCAGCCCUGAUGGCCUUUUCUCCAUUUUCAGUUUCCUUGAGCCUUUCUGCUCCAGCACUGAUCCCCAGUGGGCUCAGCAGCAGCGUCUGGCACAGGCUGGCAGGGUGCCAGCUGUGACAGAGGGCUUUUGAAAAUUGCAGGAGCCUUUUUGUUCCCUACCAUGGCAUCUGGGAUCCACAGGAGAACCAUAAGGACAUCCUGCUUUUUCACCCUCCUUCAUCUGUGCAGAGAGAGUAACCCUGAACAGUGUUUGACUCGUUUUAUUUAGAGACACUCUUUCAGAUGUGCACAUAUCCCUGUUUCUGUCUGAAGAGGUAUGGCAUUGUUAGAGGUAGGAUGCAAAGUACAGAUCCUUUGGGUUUUUUUUCCUCUUCCCCAGGCUGAAGUCAGGGAGAAGUGAUGGCCCAUGAGGAGGCAGUGGCAGAUGGAGGCAGGAGGGGGUGUGACAAGGUAGCAGCAGCAAUCUGUAAGAGAGAAGUAGUUUUCAAAAGAGAAUGGCCCCUGGUAGGGUGAGAUGGAAGAAAGAAAAGGCAGCAUUAAAAUUCAGCUGCAAAAGCAUGACUGUCUCUGACAUAUAGCAUUAUUCUAGACUAAAUUUGUGUAACAUGCCCUGGGAAAAUGAAUUUUUUUUCUUUUUUUUUUCUUUUUUUUUUUAAGUACACAAUGCACUCUAAAAUGUGCUUUGCAUUUUUAACGUGAGCUACACAGGUUUAGCUUUUUGCUGUCAAUGAAAACCACUUUGCAUCUUAUUUGUAUCCUUGAUACCAACACUAAGCUCUUUUCAGGCUGACAGUGAGAAAUAGCGAUGCAUCUCCACUCACAGUAAUUCUCCUUAAAAGAUACCACUUUACCUUUGAGUUAACUGGCUCAUUCAUACAUAGAGCUCAUAUGAGGAGAUCUAUAAGGAGCUUCAGAACCUGAUUUUGGCAGAUGAUGCAGUCUAAAACUGUACUUGAAGGUUAUAAAGGAAUGUAAGUAUUGUAGGGAUGCAUAAAGACCUUGGAGACAUAAUGCCAGUAGUAAUGACAGAGCCAGCAGAGCUGAUAUUAAAUGCUGUCAUCAUUUUUUGCACGACCACAGUGGGUAGGGGACCUGGGAUACAAUCAUCAGCACAAUGGGCUUUUAAGCAAAGUUAAAAGUCAUAUGUGCUCAUUUUGCAGAUAUACAUAAGUGUAAAACAAAUAUAUCUCAUUUUAUACCCCUCAUGUUACAUUUUUCAUCACUCAGAUUUUAUUAUAUAAGUCAGAAAAAGUAUUUAGAAGCAGUUUUUGUGCUUUUAUUUUGUGUAAUUUUAAUUCUUUUUCAUUUGUUCUCUUGAUUUUUUUCUUUUUUUUUUUUUAAGAAUAUGUGCUGUUAAAUACUCUACAAUUGCCUUUGCAAUUCUUGCAUCUGAUAAUUUGUUUUAUACCUUGUACUGGCAUUAGCCUGGGGGAUUCAUUUGAGUUUUCUGGAACACUGUUAUUUUUUGUUCUGUACAGUAAUUCUUGUUCAUCCAGCAUUUCUUCUAUUUCUUGCCUUUGUUUUUGGGCACUGCUUUACUUCCAGCUGCUGUUUUCUGCAAAACCCCUCUGUUUCCUCUCUCUGUGAUUUUUUGUUUUACUGUCAGUUUUCACAACUUUUUUUCUGCGGGUUGCAAUCUGUGCUUGGUUAAAAUAGGCAACCCAAAGUACUGGGCUAAUCAAAGGCAUCUUUUCGUGUAUUUCCUCAGAUCAAUGGCCUGUUGGCAUACUCAGGCUGUUGCUGUUUUUUUUCUGAAGGCAGAGAGGAUGCAGUAUACCCAGAACCUGCUGAUGUUACGAACUAUUAGUUCCAGUCAGGCCAAAUGAAUCAAUGUUUUAAGUGUGUAUAUACAAAGUUUGGUGUCUCUAGCUGGAUGCUCUAGUCUGAAUGUGUUACUGAAAAAUUAUUUUUAAUUAAGAAACUAUGCCCAGCCAUCACAGAUAUUGCUAGUCUGAUACCUAGAAAUCCAUGCCUGCUCUGAUUCCCUAAUGAUUCAGGAUGUUACUGGCUUUAUCGCCUGAGCUAGUUUCUGUCUAGUUAAAGAAAAUAAAACUGAAAAUAAAAACAAAACAUGCAAACUUAA